rnacentral:siRNA from 1 species
UCCAAUGCUCAAAUCCUAUGUCCU